AGUCCAGACUCCUACGGGAGGCAGCAGUGGGGGAUAUUGCACAAUGGGGGGAACCCUGAUGCAGCGACGCCGCGUGGGUGAAGGAGUGCUUCGGCAUGUAAAGCCCUAUCGGCAGGGAAAAAGCAAGACGGUACCUGGCUAAGAAGCCCCGGCUAACUACGUGCCAGCAGCCGCGGUAAUACGUAGGGGGCGAGCGUUAUCCGGAUUCACUGGGUGUAAAGGGAGCGUAGACGGCCAAGCAAGCCAGGGGGGAAAGCCCGGGGCCCAACCCCGGGACUGCAUUUGGAACUGUAAGGCUAGAGUGUCGGAGAGGCAGGCGGAAUUCCUAGUGUAGCGGUGAAAUGCGUAGAUAUUAGGAGGAACACCAGUGGCGAAGGCGGCCUGCUGGACGAUGACUGACGUUGAGGCUCGAAAGCGUGGGGAGCAAACAGGAUUAGAUACCCGGGUAA
rnacentral:rRNA from 1 species